rfam:Brassica rapa chromosome A2, whole genome shotgun sequence.
UGUUCCAUAGCUCAGUGGUAGAGUAAUUGACUGCAGAUCAAUAGGUCUCAGGUUCGAAUCCCGGUAGGGCCU